rnacentral:rRNA from 1 species
UACAGAGGGUGCAAGCGUUAAUCGGAAUUACUGGGCGUAAAGCGUGCGUAGACGGUUAUGUAAGUCGGGUGUGAAAGCCCCGGGCUCAACCUGGGAAUUGCAUUCGAGACUGUGUAGCUAGGGUACGGAAGAGGGGAGCGGAAUUUCAGGUGUAGCGGUGAAAUGCGUAGAUAUCUGAAGGAACACCAGUGGCGAAAGCGGCUUCCUGGUCCAGUACCGACGUUCAGGCACGAAAGCGUGGGGAGCAAACAGG